AUUGAACGCUGGCGGCAGGCUUAACACAUGCAAGUCGAGCGGGGUGAUGGUGCUUGCACUAUCACUUAGCGGCGGACGGGUGAGUAAUGCUUAGGAAUCUGCCUAUUAGUGGGGGACAACAUCUCGAAAGGGAUGCUAAUACCGCAUACGUCCUACGGGAGAAAGCAGGGGAUCACUUGUGACCUUGCGCUAAUAGAUGAGCCUAAGUCGGAUUAGCUAGUUGGUGGGGUAAAGGCCUACCAAGGCGACGAUCUGUAGCGGGUCUGAGAGGCUGAUCCACCACACGGGGACUGAGACACGGCCCAGACUCCUACGGGAGGCAGCAGUGGGGAAUAUUGGACAAUGGGGGGAACCCUGAUCCAGCCAUGCCGCGUGUGUGAAGAAGGCCUUAUGGUUGUAAAGCACUUUAAGCGAGGAGGAGGCUCUUUUGGUUAAUACCCAAGAUGAGUGGACGUUACUCGCAGAAUAAGCACCGGCUAACUCUGUGCCAGCCGCCGCAGUAA
rnacentral:rRNA from 1 species